AUUCAAAUAGCUUAUAAAGAGCAUAAUAUUGAAGAUAUUAAGGUGAUAGUUUUAUCUUUGGAUA
rnacentral:tRNA from 1 species